rnacentral:tRNA from 1 species
GGUGUAGCUCAGUGGUAGAGUGCCUGCUUAGCAUGCACAAGGUCCCAGGUUCAAUCCUUGGUACAUCA